rnacentral:rRNA from 1 species
GAUGAACGCUGGCGGCGUGCCUAACACAUGCAAGUCGAACGAAGCACUUUUACUCGAUUCUUCGGAUGAUGGUGAGAGUGACUGAGUGGCGGACGGGUGAGUAACGCGUGGGUAACCUGCCUCAUACAGGGGGAUAACAGUUAGAAAUGACUGCUAAUACCGCAUAAGACCACGGAGUCGCAUGACUCAGUGGGAAAAACCCCGGUGGUAUGAGAUGGACCCGCGUCUGAUUAGCUGGUUGGUGAGGUAACGGCUCACCAAGGCAACGAUCAGUAGCCGGCCUGAGAGGGUGAACGGCCACAUUGGGACUGAGACACGGCCCAA